UACAGAGGGUGCGAGCGUUAAUCGGAAUUACUGGGCGUAAAGGGUGCGUAGGUGGUUUGUUAAGUUAGAUGUGAAAUUCCUGGGCUUAACCUGGGGACUGCGUCUGAUACUGAUAAGCUAGAGUUCUGUAGAGGAAAGUGGAAUUUCCGGUGUAGCAGUGAAAUGCGUAGAUAUCGGAAGGAACAUCAGUGGCGAAGGCGACUUUCUGGACAGAAACUGACACUGAGGCACGAAAGCGUGGGGAGCAAACAGG
rnacentral:rRNA from 1 species